ensembl:snoRNA SNORD62 Small nucleolar RNA SNORD62
UCUCAAUAAUGCAAUUCCAAUAGAUCUUUCUGACCCUCCACUGUGGACUCAAUAGCAGGGAGAUGAAGAGGAAAGUGACUUGAGAGA